UACGAAGGGGGCUAGCGUUGUUCGGAAUUACUGGGUGUAAAGCGCGCGCAGGCGGUUUUUCAAGUCAGUGGUGAAAGCCCGGAGCUCAACUCCGGAAAUGCCAUUGAAACUGUUAAACUUGAGGAUGAGAGAGGUGAGUGGAAUUCCCAGUGUAGAGGUGAAAUUCGUAGAUAUUGGGAAGAACACCGGUGGCGAAGGCGGCUCACUGGCUCAUUACUGACGCUCAGGCGCGACAGCGUGGGGAUCAAACAGG
rnacentral:rRNA from 1 species